UACAGAGGGUGCAAGCAUUGAUCGGAUUUAUUGGGCGUAAAGGGUGUGUAGGCGGCUGGAUAAGUCAGGUGUGAAAUUCCGACACUUAAUGUCGGAGCUGCAUUUGAUACUGUCUAGCUAGAGGGUGGGUGGAGAGAACGGAAUUCCAUGUGUAGCGGUGAAAUGCGUAGAUAUAUGGAAGAACACCUGUGGCGUAAGCGGUUCUCUAACUCAUUCCUGACGCUGAAACACGAGAGCGUGGGGAGCAAACAGGAUUAGAUACCCG
rnacentral:rRNA from 1 species